GAUAUUGUAAGAAGAGCACAAGAAAAUAUCCAUAAAUCAAAAUAUAACAAAACUUGAAAGUGUGAUAAUGAUCUAUAGUUCAACAUCAUCAACACAUGAAAGAAAAUAAAAAAAUAAAAACUAAAUUACAAUGUUCAAGUUUUGAUUAAUAACAAUCUUUAUAAUCUUUCCCUGUUGGAAGAAUGUUGAGAUUUGUACAAUGGUUCUUCACCGUAGAAACCAAAUCGCCGUGCAUAGCUGAACAUAAUUCUGCAAAAGCAUUAAAAGCUUUUGGUGCUUGUUGUUCUUCUGCAACAUUGUCUCCAACACCUUCCUCUGGUAUUACAGCAGCAACAACAACAACCUCUCUUUCUUGUGUUGUUGUAGCCAUAGGAGAAGAUAUGGGCAGAUCAACUGUCAAUCGUAUUGGGGAAAUCAUGGACAUGAUCUUCUUUGUUGUAAGCAUCAUUGAUCGUUUUAAUUGGCUGCAAUGUAUCUGAUCCAUCACCAGCACAUCACACAAUCACUUACGUGGAGUGUAUAUGUGUGGUGUAUCACCAAACACAUGAGGACCUUUUCUCAGUUGAAGCACUAUUGCUAGAUCUUGUUGAUGAAGAAAGCUACGCAAGAUUAGUGUUAUUGAAUGAGUGAUGUGAUGGAAUGAAAAAAUGAGUAAUGUAAGACUCCUAUUUAUAGCUCAUACUUGCAAUCUAAGGUAUCAUGUGUAGUAAUUAUAAAGUUGACUCUCUUGUCAAAUAUUAAUAAUAUAUUUUUGUCAUUAAUUCUA